AAAGCUGAAAGGAGUGGAGACAGAGAAAUCACGUGUCAGUCUGGGGUGCUGAGGCUAGUGCUAAAGAUGUUUCACCUGUGUCACUGGCACAGGGUCUAAGAGCUCAAGGUUUGAACUUGGAGGAUCCUGUUGAUCCAACGGCUUUCCCGCCAGGCCCAGGUUGGAUAACCUGUAUUCUAAUCCGGACCCAGCCCUGGGUCAGCUCCCAUACCAGCUAAACAACUUCCAACACCUUCCUGCCCAACGUGCCACACCCAUCCCACUCGGUCACGUUUUCUCUGCUGCGCUCCCAACUCUGCCCAAGGCAAUUAGUCUGGAGGCCCCCAGACAAACUGCUGCCAGCCGGGACCCAUCGGAACCGAUGGCCUUCAUCAAAAGCCCCACAGAAAUAGUACAGUCAAGAGGCCCCACCAGAAGCUGUCUGCAGAAGACAGCAAAAGCAAGAAACCCGGCCAGACACCAAGACCACCUGACCAAACACAACAGGCUCUACACAUGUGCCUCUCUGACCGCCACUGCUGCAGGUGAAUGGAUGUGUUAGGAGGGCACAGAGGAGGAGCAAUGGGAAGAAAUGGAAACAAUCCAUUCAAGGUAAACAGUGGCACUGCUUUGGCUCAGCUGAUCUGCUUUAACAAAUCUGCUGAAAAAUGUAACCACCUAGGAAUAGGAUUCUGUAGUCCACCGGAAAAAUGAGCAUUUUCUUCUCCUGCCCCUCUCUGAAUGACAUACGGGAGGAUUAGGACUGCAGAUGCGUGAGAAAGCAGCCACAGGAAGAGGAGAAGAGCAAUGUCAAAGUGCUGGCACCAGCAAUUCCUAAGACAUCACAACCUACCCCAGGCACCACUGCUUACGGGUGGCAGACCAUGUCACCAGGCGCACGCAGGACACAGCCCCAUCCUCAGUCACACUCAGGCCUAAUCUACCACUACCUGUAAAGCCUUCACCCAGCCCCAGAGCCUGACCUCCUCCCUGACCCAUAUCUCCUGGGUUAAAUCUUUUGUUUCAGGGUGAUGGAGGGCUGCUGCUGGUUCAUGAAGACUAGCAAGGUGGCGGUGAAGGACAGCACUGACCACAUCCAAGACACUAGACGGUAUGCGUCCCUCCUCUUCAGAGGACACCAAAAUGUACUACUUUAUCUGGACCACCUUCAGCAAGAAAGCUGGGGUGGGGUUCCAAACAAGUCACUGUCUGUCUUCAUGAGAAAAAACACUCUGAAGCCCAAGCCAGGUGAAGACAACGUUGAUUUCUAGCUCCAGUGGUGCAGUAUUCCCUGGGCUAUCACGCUGCAUUAAAAAAAAAAACUCAGAUUUCGGGUGAAGAGAACAAGGUUGCCUCAAGUUGCCAGUCCCAGCAAAAACAGGCAUUAACUUUUUGAUAGGCAAGGAGGAUGCCUCCCUCAGCAUCACAUGAUAUCAUUAAUUGACUCUUCCAAAAUGGCAGAAAGGGACCACUGAAAUUAAGUCAUCCAAUUUCCUGAAUGUACUUACGGGACUGAAAUCAGAGGAGAAGAUGUGUCUGACUUAGAAAAACUCAGUAAAGGCUUGUUGGUUAAAGUGGCACAAAGCAGAUUAUGAAUUCCAACUCGGGACAUGGCUUUGUCUAUUUCUAGGCAACAGGCUUGCUCCAAGUGUUAGGCUGGAGCUGUAGGCAGAGCCCAAUGACCAGUGGGGCAGAGAAGGAAGCGCCUAUUGAUCUCCCCAUCCCUCUGGCAUCAGGCUUCCAGAGGAGAACUGACUUCCUCUACCUUGAACUGACAGGGCACAAGAGAGCUUCAGUUUUAAGACACAUGUACUGAACUUCUGCUAUUUACCAGGCUCUGCACUAGCCAUGGGAGAUAAAGUAGCUCAGUACAUUCUCACAAUAAUUCCGUGGCUUUGGUUUUCUUAUCUGUAAGAUCAGAACCAAACAGGCCACUUCAUCCCCCUGAGGCUGAGUCACGUACUCCUGGAGUCGGACUGACGAGGUAUGGACUGUGGCUGACACGCAUCUGCCGUGUGAUAUCGGGCCUAUUAGUUGACUGCUUGGAACCUCAGCUUUCCACAACAGAUGGAUGUAGGGUUUAAAUGGAAGCUCAUAUGGAAAGAGCUUACCAUCGGGCCUGACGUAUUAAACACAAGUUCUUUCUUUCUUUCUUUCCUAAUUCCAGAUGCAGUGCUCCUGGGAGCUGCGGUACAGUCAGACGGUGGUAACUGGGGCGGGCCUGGCUGCUGUGAAUGAUUAAGAGCUGAUCUGUCUUCCUACCUGGAGUCCACUCUAAGUGCUCAGAACCUGAGUAGCACUAAACAUAUACCUGUUGACUGACUGGCUCGUAUUGGGUGCUGUGGAAGGAGUACAUAGCACUGGGAGCCCGGCUCCUACCCUAGCUUGUUGAAUGGUCUUGACCUCUCUGGGCCUCAGUUUUCUCAUCUGUAAAACAAGGGGAAUAGAUCAGACAUUUUGAUUCUAAUAUUUUCACAUUAUUAUGAAAUGUUGGGCUUUCCCAAGCCCCUCUUCCAAGGUCCUGGGCUGCAAGUGAAGUUCAGUGCCCAGCCACUUUCCAUAGUCUCUUUCUUGGCUUAUGUCUAGCUGACUUUAACAUCAUCCUGUGACAUUACUUGCCAACACAUGUAAGCAACGACUUCUACAUCUUAAUGCUUUCUUUUCUUGUUCUUCUCUUUGGAUAAGAAACUGGGAUCUGGAAUGAGGUAGCCCUCACGUUCUGUAAAACACUGCUAAAAUUAUAAAACUUGGAUUUAAUUCAACCAGAAACCAGGGCUGCUCUGGGAAGCAGCAGAACCACUUCCACCCCGGAGAGAGGGCCAUGUUUUGAAGUCUCACAGGAUCCUGGAGGUGAAAGUCCAAUUUAGGGAAGACAGCUGGAUUCAGAGAAGACGGGUGAGGGCAGAGGAGGAGGAACAAGAGAGGUACACAGAAAGAACUGCGGCACUCCCUACGAAGUGGAAAAAUAACUACCAAAUAUCGAGAUGGGAUCUGCAUUUCCCCACAAGGACUGAAUGGAAGGGUCUAUAAUGGAAACUGCUGUCUUGAAAAUACCCCAGGAUCCAGUACGCCAGAACCCUGAAGUUCAUGCCUGUAACACACACCCUGCUGGUGUUACUGAACACCAGGCACGAGAAUGGUUUCAGGAGACUGUUCCAACCACAAGAUCCCCAUCCUUGAACUGGCCACAAGAUCCCCAUCCUUGAACUGGCAAGUCAAAGAGUCGUGUACACUACAGCUCUAGGGAGACUCAGUGGAAGGGACCUGAGGUUUUAUUGCUGUUAGAGAACUUGAAAAGGGAAGCUUCCUAUCAGGCCAACACUCAGAGGUUUUGUGUGACAGCCACAGAAGCAGCGCUAAUUGGGCGGCUAUUUAAUACUGGGAGAAUCACCAAGAGCAGAACCCACCUGUGUUGGAUGGAGUAAAGCCUGGCAAGGAGGGGCUGUUGAGGCCGGGGAGCAACACGGGAGGAAU